AAUGCGAUUUUGGGGGUAAAGAAUAAUGCGGUUCUCGAAGCCAUCGCGUGACGUUCUGGUUCAUGAAGCUGCCGCUCGAUUCAUCAUGUGUAACUCCUACGACGUCUGCGUCGCCGCUCGAUUCAUCCGUGCAUAACUCCUUCGAUGUCUGCGUCGUCGUGUUCUGCUCCAGGUGACGGGGAACGUCACCGAUCGACCUGUCAUCUCGCCGACGACUACCCAAGCUUCAAUCUUCGAAGUCGUUUGUCACGCCAUCACGCUAUGACACUACGUUUCCCAUUCGUCUGACAGUUGCAUGCCAUGGUGUGGCUCCCUGCAUCCUUCGUCCACCGACCGUGAAACAGCUACUACCGAUUCUCUAUUCUGGUGUACACGUGUCGAUUCCAUUUUUCUACGUUGCAGUUUCUGCCUUGUUUUGGGUAGUUGUGAUAAGAAUGAAAAUUGUAGGUUUGAUUGGUUUUGAAUUGUAAAAAUAAUGAGUUGUGAGGAUGGUUAAUUGAUUGGAUUAACAUUUCUUGAAGGUACUGUUUGAAGCGAGUAAACGUUUGAAUUUUCUAUAACUUGGGUUAGGUUCGUCCCUCCACUAACGGGGUUGUGGUUGUUGAAGUUAGUUCGACCAAGAGUUUUGCAUAAAACUUUAAGUUAAGACAAAGGUAACACGAGAGGCAGACCGACGAGGGACAAGGAGUCGUGAUUGUCAUAUGGAAAAUGUCUUUUAAACUGCUUAUGAUGUUGGUUUAAAUUUCUUUUUUGUGAUUGAAUUGAGUUUAUGAAUAGUUAAAUUAAACGGUACUUUUAGAAUUUUAUUGUUUUAAAUAGG